UCCAGACUCCUACGGGAGGCAGCAGUGGGGGAUAUUGCACAAUGGGGGGAACCCUGAUGCAGCGACGCCGCGUGGGUGAAGGAGUAUUUCGGUAUGUAAAGCCCUAUCGGCAGGGAAGAAGAAAGACGGUACCUGACUAAGAAGCCCCGGCUAACUACGUGCCAGCAGCCGCGGUAAUACGUAGGGGGCAAGCGUUAUCCGGAUUUACUGGGUGUAAAGGGGGCGCAGACGGCGAUGCAAGCCAGGAGUGAAAGCCCGGGGCCCAACCCCGGGACUGCUCUUGGAACUGCGUGGCUGGAGUGCAGGAGGGGCAGGCGGAAUUCCUGGUGUAGCGGUGAAAUGCGUAGAUAUCAGGAGGAACACCGGUGGCGAAGGCGGCCUGCUGGACCGUAACUGACGUUGAGGCUCGAAAGCGUGGGGAGCAAACAGGAUUAGAUACCCGUGUA
rnacentral:rRNA from 1 species